rnacentral:rRNA from 1 species
UACGGGGGGAGCAAGCGUUGUUCGGAUUUACUGGGCGUAAAGGGCGCGUAGGCGGCCAGCACAAGUCAGUUGUGAAAUCUCCGGGCUUAACUCGGAAAGGUCAACUGAUACUGUGCGGCUAGAGUGCAGAAGGGGCAACUGGAAUUCUCGGUGUAGCGGUGAAAUGCGUAGAGAUCGGGAGGAAGGCCGGUGGCGAAGGCGGCGCUCUGGAACGUUUCUGACGCUGAGGCUCGAAAGCGUGGGGAGCAAACAGG